UACGAAGGGGGCUAGCGUUGUUCGGAAUCACUGGGCGUAAAAGGGCGCGUAGGCGGCCCGAUCAAGUCGGGGGUGAAAGCCUGUGGCUCAACCACAGAAUUGCCCUUCGAUACUGUUUGGCUUGAGACCGGAAGAGGUUAGUGGAACUGCGAGUGUAGAGGUGAAAUUCGUAGAUAUUCGCAAGAACACCAGUGGCGAAGGCGGCUGACUGGUCCGGUUCUGACGCUGAGGCGCGAAAGCGUGGGGAGCAAACAGG
rnacentral:rRNA from 1 species